GUGGCUGAUUUUCUACUCUGCCAUUCAUCAAUUCCUUCUUCAAUAGGUAACGAUUAUUUAUUAAAUUUGAGAUUUUUGAAUCAUAAUCGAAUUGGUUACCAUAUCCAUGUUUCAAUUUGUUCAACAAACAAAAUAUAGGGUGUUGAAUUUGGCUCGAAAAUUUGUUCGAAGAACCUGUGUUCAAGCUGCUCAAAGAACCCUAAUUUGAUCCACCAUUUCGUGGUUUUGAAUCAUAAUCGAUUUGUUUACCGUAUCUUUGUUUCAAUUGUUCAAAAAGCAAGAUAUAGGGGGUUGAUUCUGGCCCGAAAAUUUGCUUGAAGAACCUGUGUUCAAGCUGCUUGAAGAACCCUAAUUCGAUCGGCCAUUUCGUUAAUUUCAUCUUUAAUAGUUAACGAUAAUUGAUGAAAAAUGAGGGUUUUAAAUUAUAAUCGAAUUGGUUACCAUAUCCAUGUUUUAAUUUGUUCAAAAAACAAGAUAUUUGGGGUUAAUUUUGGCCUGAAAAUUUGUUGUGCGAAGAACUUGUCUUCGAUCCAAAAAAAAAUAUUUUUGAUCAAUUUACUGGUCUUUUUUAUCAAAUUGAUGUAUGGAGUUU
rnacentral:lncRNA from 1 species